rnacentral:rRNA from 1 species
UACGGAGGGUGCAAGCGUUGCUCGGAAUUACUGGGCGUAAAGCGAGCGCAGGCGGUCUGAUAAGUCGGUUGUGAAAGCCCCGGGCUCAACCCGGGAACUGCGAUCGAAACUGCCAGACUUGAGUACGGGAGAGGGAAGUGGAAUUCCUGGUGUAGAGGUGAUAUUCGUUGAUAUCAGGAGGAACACCGGCGGCGAAGGCGACUUCCUGGCCCGAUACUGACGCUCAUGCUCGAAAGCGUGGGGAGCAAACAGG